rnacentral:rRNA from 1 species
AUUGAACGCUGGCGGCAGGCCUAACACAUGCAAGUCGAACGAGUGGCGGACAGGUGAGUAAUGUGUGGGAAACUGCCUGAUGGAGGGGGAUAAAUACUGUAAACAGUAUCUAAUACCGCAUACCAUCAGAUGUGCCCAGAUGGGAUUAGCUAGUGGGUGGGGUAACGGCUCACCUAGGCGACGAUCCCUAGCUGGUCUGAGAGGAUGACCAGCCACACUGGAACUGAGACACGGUCCAGACUCCUACGGGAGGCAGCAGUGGGGAAUAUUGCACAAUGGGCGCAAGCCUGAUGCAGCCAUGCCGCGUGUAUGAAGAAGGCCUUCGGGUUGUAAAGUACUUUCAGCGGGGAGGCGUUACCCGCAGAAGAAGCACCGGCUAACUCCGUGCCAGCAGCCGCGGUAAUUC